AUUGAACGCUGGCGGCAGGCCUAACACAUGCAAGUCGAACGAGUGGCGGACGGGUGAGUAAUGUCUGGGACACUGCCUGAUGGAGGGGGAUAACUACUGGAAACGGUAGCUAAUACCGCAUACCAUCAGAUGUGCCCAGAUGGGAUUAGCUGGUUGGUGGGGUAACGGCUCACCAAGGCGACGCUCCCUAGCUGGGCUGAGAGGAUGACCAGCCACACGGGAACUGAGAAACGGUCCAGAAUCCUACGGGAGGCAGCAGUGGGGAAUAUGGGACAAUGGGCGAAAGCCGGAGACAGCCAUGCGGCGGGUAUGAAGAAGGCCGUCGGGUUGUAAAGUACUUUCAGCGGGGAGGCGUUACCCGCAGAAGAAGCACCGGCUAACUCCGUGCCAGCAGCCGCGGUAAUAC
rnacentral:rRNA from 1 species